rnacentral:piRNA from 1 species
UGGUACAGUUCAGCCUCAGCAACAUGCCAGU